rnacentral:lncRNA from 1 species
AAAAGAAAAAAAAAAAAAGAAAGUUUCCUCUCAAGUCUAAUGUUAUGAAAUCAUACACACUUUACUUUGUUUUUAUUUUUUUUUUUUGCAUUAUGCAUUUUUUAAAUCUAUAUAUACACAUUGCAGUGAAAACAUCCUUGGAAUCGCACUGGUUGCUUGCAAGUUGCCACAGUUGCUUGUAGUUUGCCUGGAAGACUCCAACUUGUCUGUAAAUACUUGUAAGCUCAUGACAAGUGCUCAUGUAUGAUUUUUAGUGUGAAUGUAGUAACUUAACAGUUUUGGUAGUAAUACAAACUAAUGUAUGUUCGUUGUGUGUGUGUUUGUAAGGAAGCUGCGGUGGCAACUAAAAAUACAGCCACGGCUACGGAGGCUGUUGAACCAAUUAAAGGUGCUGCAGUUGACGACUCUGUGACUGCAGAGAAGAUCUCAAAGGAUCAGCCGGUCGCUGUUACCCACCCAACAUUUUGGGAGCGGAUACAAGAGCAACUGAGUCCAGAAAGAAUCCGUUGUCUCAAGACAGUCAAACUUCCCAAUUCAAAGCUUGUUCCGCUUGAUUACAAGGUGCUGUUAAUAAGCAACCUGCCAG